GGCUCGGUGGUGGAUGGUCUACACCUGCGCCUAAUAAACUGGCCGUUCCAACUGGUUGCGGGAAGAGUCCGUUCGACUCGGGCCCGAGCCA